ACGAACGCUGGCGGCGUGCCUAAUACAUGCAAGUAGAACGCUGAAGAGAGGAGCUUGCUCUUCUUGGAUGAGUUGCGAACGGGUGAGUAACGCGUAGGUAACCUGCCUUGUAGCGGGGGAUAACUAUUGGAAACGAUAGCUAAUACCGCAUAACAAUGGAUGACACAUGUCAUUUAUUUGAAAGGGGCAAUUGCUCCACUACAAGAUGGACCUGCGUUGUAUUAGCUAGUAGGUGAGGUAACGGCUCACCUAGGCGACGAUACAUAGCCGACCUGAGAGGGUGAUCGGCCACACUGGGACUGAGACACGGCCCAGACUCCUACGGGAGGCAGCAGUAGGGAAUCUUCGGCAAUGGGGGCAACCCUGACCGAGCAACGCCGCGUGAGUGAAGAAGGUUUUCGGAUCGUAAAGCUCUGUUGUAAGUCAAGAACGAGUGUGAGAGUGGAAAGUUCACACUGUGACGGUAGCUUACCUGAAAGGGACGGCUAACUACGUGCCAGCAGCCGCGGUAAUACGUAGGUCCCGAGCGUUGUCCGGAUUUAUUGGGCGUAAAGCGAGCGCAGGCGGUUUGAUAAGUCUGAAGUUAAAGGCUGUGGCUCAACCAUAGUUCGCUUUGGAAACUGUCAAACUUGAGUGCAGAAGGGGAGAGUGGAAUUCCAUGUGUAGCGGUGAAAUGCGUAGAUAUAUGGAGGAACACCGGUGGCGAAAGCGGCUCUCUGGUCUGUAACUGACGCUGAGGCUCGAAAGCGUGGGGAGCGAACAGGAUUAGAUACCCUGGUAGUCCACGCCGUAAACGAUGAGUUCUAGUUGUUGGAUCCUUCCCGAGAUUCAGUGACGCAGCUAACGCAUUAAGCACUCCGCCUGGGGAGUACGACCGCAAGGUUGAAACUCAAAGGAAUUGACGGGGGCCCGCACAAGCGGUGGAGCAUGUGGUUUAAUUCGAAGCAACGCGAAGAACCUUACCAGGUCUUGACAUCCCGAUGCUAUUUCUAGAGAUAGAAAGUUACUUCGGUACAUCGGUGACAGGUGGUGCAUGGUUGUCGUCAGCUCGUGUCGUGAGAUGUUGGGUUAAGUCCCGCAACGAGCGCAACCCCUAUUGUUAGUUGCCAUCAUUCAGUUGGGCACUCUAGCGAGACUGCCGGUAAUAAACCGGAGGAAGGUGGGGAUGACGUCAAAUCAUCAUGCCCCUUAUGACCUGGGCUACACACGUGCUACAAUGGUUGGUACAACGAGUUGCGAGUCGGUGACGGCAAGCUAAUCUCUUAAAGCCAAUCUCAGUUCGGAUUGUAGGCUGCAACUCGCCUACAUGAAGUCGGAAUCGCUAGUAAUCGCGGAUCAGCACGCCGCGGUGAAUACGUUCCCGGGCCUUGUACACACCGCCCGUCACACCACGAGAGUUUGUAACACCCGAAGUCGGUGAGGUAACCUUUUGGAGCCAGCCGCCUAAGGUGGGAUAGAUGAUUGGGGUG
rnacentral:rRNA from 1 species